CCGAGUUGUAAUUUGCAGAGGAUGCUUUGGGCGCGGUGCCUUCCGAGUUCCCUGGAACGGGACGCCUUAGAGGGUGAGAGCCCCGUACGGUUGGACACCAAGCCUCUGUAAAGCUCCUUCGACGAGUCGAGUAGUUUGGGAAUGCUGCUCUAAAUGGGAGGUAAAUUUCUUCUAAAGCUAAAUAUUGGCCAGAGACCGAUAGCGCACAAGUAGAGUGAUCGAAAGAUGAAAAGCACUUUGAAAAGAGGGUUAAAUAGCACGUGAAAUUGUUGAAAGGGAAGCGUUUACGACCAGACCUUUUCGCAGCGGAUCAUCCGGUGUUCUCACCGGUGCACUUCGCUGGGUUGAGGCCAGCAUCGGUUUCCGCAGGGGGAUAA
rnacentral:rRNA from 2 species